CAGGACAGAUCUAUAGAUUAAUAUGUGAAUGCUACUUAGAUCCUGAUCCAAAUCAACUCUGCAAAAGAAGAAAAGUCCUUCAUGCUGCUGAGACACUUAGGCAUUUGGAGUUUGGAGAUUGAUUGUGUGUCUGAUGCUCUUAAGGAAUUGUUCAUUAUACCAGACAUGACAUACUUUCUGCAGCUCCUGGUGCUGCUUGUGUGCUCAUUUAGUGCGGACAUGGCAACUCUUUGGAAAGCAGCAGCUGAGAUGACUGCCGCACUAGCCAUGGUCACAAGAAACCCAAGGAAGGUGCCACGACUGAGAACGAUGAUCAUAUGAAUUUGAAGAUGGCGGGGCAGGAUAGUUCUGUGGUGCACGUUAAGACUAAGGAGCAUAUGCCAUUUCGUAAACUAAUGAAAGCCUAUUAUGAAAGACAGGGUUUGUCAAUGAGGCGGAUCCGAUUCUGAUUUGAUGGGCAGCCAAUCCAUGAAGCAGGCAUACCAGCAGAAUUAGAAGAAACAGGAGGAUCAAGACACAGUGGAUAUGUUCCAGCAGCAGACAGGAGGCAUCUUCUAAAAGGGAGCUGAGCCUACAGACCAAGAAUUCAUUCUCAGCGAGAAGACUACAAUUUGGUUGUACCGCAUGCUGACGGCUGCAGUAGAGUUCUGUUUCCCCAUUCCAUUCUUGUACAUCUUGUACAUUCUUGUAACCAGUGCCUGUGCGCAAGCAUACUGCAUUUCCCCACCUUUGCUUAUUGCUUUACUAAAUGGUCUGACUGAUAUCAGGUGGAGAAGGGCUGGGGGAAAAUAACGGUUCUGAGAAAAUACCCCUUCUCUAUUCAUGGCAUGCUCAUUCAGUUCUUCUCUUUAUAUUCGAGGAAGUUAUUUUGCUCACUGGUCAACAGGAAGUAACAGCAGGGUGUUCGCUGUUAACAAUAGCAUGAAACUGCGGUGUUCUGAGUGCUCUUCCCCUGCAAUGGGGUGCGGUUCUCAACGAAUUCUUCAAACAUUGUAUAAAUUCUUAUAAACAUUUAAAGGAAAAAUAAAUAGGCAUGUAAAGUUAGGAAAAAUGAACAAAAUAAAGGAAAACAUAAACAUGGUACUUAUCAGACUUGAAAAAAGGAUGUCCUUCCCCAAAUAUAUUAACUUCUAAUUACAACACUAACAAUUUUUCUAUCAGCAAAGCACCUUUAAAUUACUUAUAUUACUUAUAAGACACUACUGAAAUAAAAUAUAAGUUUUUUUUUUCUAGAUUUAGCUUCCUUCGAUUCUUAUAUUUGUAAAUUUCUAAUACGGUCCAGAGUAAGAAUUCUAUAUAUAAAUGUUUUGCUAAUAAAGGCCCUGUCAUAAAAAAUUUAGGCUUUUCAAUAGUGCACUCUUUGAAAGGGGUGUCCAAUCGCAAUUUAGGAAUUAAAGAAGUUUGUUAAUGGAAGGGUCAAAACUUUGAAACUAAAUAGAUCACUCCAAGUGUUAAGUCCAUGUUGGGGGGCUCCUGUCUGCCAUUUCUAGCCCAACCAUGAGGCAAACCUUCAAGGUGGGCGCCAUUUUGCGAAGGUCAAACGCCCAUUUCUAGAGAUCUAUAAAAAGGGUUACUGACCGCUUGUAUUUUCCCUUCAGAUAUUUCCUGUUAUGAGAUUGACUACACAACAUUGUUAAAACAGCACAUCCUGAUCGGCUUUACAUCAAGGUUUGAAACAGGAGCCGCACCCCAUUCCAAGGGUAAGAACAGACCACCUCAACCUCAUGCUAUUGUUAUACAGCUAACAUCCUGUUACUGGUUUUUCAUCGUUAAUGCCAAAACCACAGGGUUAAUAAAGACUUACUUCUGUUUCUGUAAA